UCCGGUUUGGCACCGGCAGUCUCACUAGAGUUCCCGGCUUUACCCGCUGGUAACUAGUGACAAGGGUUGCGCUCGUUGCGGGACUUAACCCAACAUCUCACGACACGAGCUGACGACAGCCAUGCAGCACCUGUGUUCCGGCUCUCUUUCGAGCACUCCCAAAUCUCUCCAGGAUUCCGGACAUGUCAAGGGUAGGUAAGGUUUUUCGCGUUGCAUCGAAUUAAUCCACAUCAUCCACCGCUUGUGCGGGUCCCCGUCAAUUCCUUUGAGUUUUAAUCUUGCGACCGUACUCCCCAGGCGGCGAACUUCACGCGUUAGCUGCGGUACUAAGAAAGUCUCCUUCCCCAACACCUAGUUCGCAUCGUUUAGGGCGUGGACUAC
rnacentral:misc_RNA from 1 species